AUGCUGGAGGUAUCAGAAGUGCGAAUGCUGACAUAAGUAACGAUAAAGCGGGUGAAAAGCCCGCUCGCCGGAAGACCAAGGGUUCCUGUCCAACGUUAAUCGGGGCAGGGUGAGUCGACCCCUAAGGCGAGGCCGAAAGGCGUAGUCGAUGGGAAACAGGUUAAUAUUCCUGUACUUGGUGUUACUGCGAAGGGGGGACGGAGAAGGCUAUGUUGGCCGGGCGACGGUUGUCCCGGUUUAAGCGUGUAGGCUGGUUUUCCAGGCAAAUCCGGAAAAUCAAGGCUGAGGCGUGAUGACGAGGCACUACGGUGCUGAAGCAACAAAUGCCCUGCUUCCAGGAAAAGCCUCUAAGCAUCAGGUAACAUCAAAUCGUACCCCAAACCGACACAGGUGGUCAGGUAGAGAAUACCAAGGCGCUUGAGAGAACUCGGGUGAAGGAACUAGGCAAAAUGGUGCCGUAACUUCGGGAGAAGGCACGCUGAUAUGUAGGUGAAGUCCCUCGCGGAUGGAGCUGAAAUCAGUCGAAGAUACCAGCUGGCUGCAACUGUUUAUUAAAAACACAGCACUGUGCAAACACGAAAGUGGACGUAUACGGUGUGACGCCUGCCCGGUGCCGGAAGGUUAAUUGAUGGGGUCAGCGCAAGCGAAGCUCUUGAUCGAAGCCCCGGUAAACGGCGGCCGUAACUAUAACGGUCCUAAGGUAGCGAAAUUCCUUGUCGGGUAAGUUCCGACCUGCACGAAUGGCGUAAUGAUGGCCAGGCUGUCUCCACCCGAGACUCAGUGAAAUUGAACUCGCUGUGAAGAUGCAGUGUACCCGCGGCAAGACGGAAAGACCCCGUGAACCUUUACUAUAGCUUGACACUGAACAUUGAGCCUUGAUGUGUAGGAUAGGUGGGAGGCUUUGAAGUGUGGACGCCAGUCUGCAUGGAGCCGGCCUUGAAAUACCACCCUUUAAUGUUUGAUGUUCUAACGUUGACCCGUGAUCCGGGUUGCGGACAGUGUCUGGUGGGUAGUUUGACUGGGGCGGUCUCCUCCUAAAGAGUAACGGAGGAGCACGAAGGUUGGCUAAUCCUGGUCGGACAUCAGGAGGUUAGUGCAAUGGCAUAAGCCAGCUUGACUGCGAGCGUGACGGCGCGAGCAGGUGCGAAAGCAGGUCAUAGUGAUCCGGUGGUUCUGAAUGGAAGGGCCAUCGCUCAACGGAUAAAAGGUACUCCGGGGAUAACAGGCUGAUACCGCCCAAGAGUUCAUAUCGACGGCGGUGUUUGGCACCUCGAUGUCGGCUCAUCACAUCCUGGGGCUGAAGUAGGUCCCAAGGGUAUGGCUGUUCGCCAUUUAAAGUGGUACGCGAGCUGGGUUUAGAACGUCGUGAGACAGUUCGGUCCCUAUCUGCCGUGGGCGCUGGAGAACUGAGGGGGGCUGCUCCUAGUACGAGAGGACCGGAGUGGACGCAUCACUGGUGUUCGGGUUGUCAUGCCAAUGGCACUGCCCGGUAGCUAAAUGCGGAAGAGAUAAGUGCUGAAAGCAUCUAAGCACGAAACUUGCCCCGAGAUGAGUUCUCCCUGACUCCUUGAGAGUCCUGAAGGAACGUUGAAGACGACGACGUUGAUAGGCCGGGUGUGUAAGCGCAGCGAUGCGUUGAGCUAACCGGUACUAAUGAACCGUGAGGCUUAACCUUACAACGCCGAAG
rnacentral:rRNA from 1 species